GAGAGGAGACAGGAGACAGUAGAGAGGAGACAGGAGACAGUAGAGAGGAGACAGGAGACAGUAGAGAGGAGACAGGAGACAGUAGAGAGGAGAGAGUAGAGAGGAGACAGGAGACAGUAGAGAGGAGACAGGAGACAGCAGAGAGGAGACAGCAGAGAGGAGACAGCAGACAGGAGACACUAGAGAGGAGACAGGAGGCAGCAGACAGGAGACAGUAGAGAGGAGACAGGAGGCAGCAGACAGGAGACAGUAGAGAGGAGACAGGAGGCAGCAGACAGGAGACAGUAGAGAGGAGACAGCAGACAGUAGAGAGGAGACAGGAGAGAGGAGACAGCAGGCGGCAGAGAGGAGACAGCAGACAGGAGACAGGAUACAGUAGAUAGGAGACAGCAGAGAGGAGAAAGGAGUCAGCAGGCAACAGAGAGGAGACAGUAGGCAGGAGAGAGGAGACAGGAAACAGCAGACAGGAGACAGCAGAGAGGAGACAGCAGGCAGCAGAGAGGAGACAUGAUACAGUAGAUAGGAGACAGCAGGCAGCAGAGAGGAGACAGGAUACAGUAGAUAGGAGACAGCAGAGAGGAGAGAGCAGAGAGGAGACAGCAGAGAGGAGACAGGAGGCCGCAGAGAGGAGGCAGGAGACAGCAGAGAGGAGACAGCAGGCAGCACAGCGGAGACAGGAGACAGCAGAGGAGACAGGAGCCAGCAGAGGAGACAGCAGGCAGCAGAGGAGACAGUAGGCAGCAGAGGAGACAGGAGACAGCAGAGAGGAGACGGGAGCCAGCAGAUGAGACAGCAGGCAGCAGAGGAGACAGCAGGCAGCACAGAGGAGACAGGAGACAGCAGAGGGGAAACAGCAGAUGAGACAGCAGGCAGCAGAGGAGACAGGAGACAGCAGAGAGGAGACAGCAGGCAGCACAGAGGAGACAGCAGAGAGGAGACAGCAGGCAGCAGAGAGGAGACAGGAGACCGCAGAGAGGAGACAGGAGACCGCAGAGAGGAGACAGCAGGCAGCACAGAGGAGACAGCAGGCAGCACAGAGGAGACAGGAGACAGCGGGCAGCAGAGAGGAGACAGGACACAGCACAGAGGAGACAGCAGGCAGCAGAGAAGAGACAGUAGAGGAGACAGGAGACCGCAGAGAGGAGACAGCAGGCAGCACAGAGGAGACAGCAGGCAGCACAGAGGAGACAGGAGACAGCGGGCAGCAGAGAGGAGACAGGACACAGCACAGAGGAGACAGGAGACAGCAGGCAGCAUAGAGGAGACAGCAGAGAGGAGACAGCAGGCAGCAGGCAGCAGAAACAGGAGACAGCAGGCAGCA
ensembl:lncRNA